rnacentral:rRNA from 1 species
UACGUAGGUGGCAAGCGUUGUCCGGAAUUAUUGGGCGUAAAGCGCGCGCAGGCGGCCUUUUAAGUCUGAUGUGAAAGCCCCCGGCUCAACCGGGGAGGGUCAUUGGAAACUGGAAGGCUUGAGUACAGAAGAGAAGAGUGGAAUUCCAUGUGUAGCGGUGAAAUGCGUAGAGAUGUGGAGGAACACCAGUGGCGAAGGCGACUCUUUGGUCUGUAACUGACGCUGAGGCGCAAAAGCGUGGGGAGCAAACAGG